UGUGGUACUAGAGAGAAUCAUAGCUUUGUCUUAUAAUGACAAGUCUGGUUGGCGAGCUUCCUGUUAAGAACAUCGAUGUACAAAUCGCAAGAAGUGGUAGUUUUCACGUGAAUUUUGACCAGAACUCGGACCACCCCUGACAAUUUCACGUAAGUAGUGAGGGGUAACAUACCAGAACCGGAAAGGACGUCGGAAUACAAACCGGAAUCGGAAAGCAAUCGAUCGGCCAUCACGGUGAGGGUAAUAUUCAUCGGAUGCGUUUCACGGGAACCUAUCUCGCCGGCCGGAAUAGGGGCAUCUCCUAUGACCUGGCCCUUAUACUGCAGGAUGGCGGAAGUAGAGUCGUACUUGAACCCGACCCGGUUGGGAUUUGUGACAGAAAGGUCGGCCUGAAGGGUGACGUUGAGGUGAACCUG
rnacentral:lncRNA from 1 species